rnacentral:lncRNA from 1 species
AAAAAUAGGGAAAGAGAAAGAGAAGAAAAAAAUAAAUAGAAAGGAAAGAAGAGUUUGUUGUUUAGGGAAGAUUUGGUGUUUAAGAAAAGGUAUUUUUUUUGUUAUAAAAAAAUGUUAAUUUGUUUUUGUUGUUAUUGUUGAUUUAAUUCGGUUUUAUUUUUUAAUUUUAUUUUUGUAAGAUAUUAUUUGAAUAAAAAGAGCUAUUAAAGUAUGUUUAUAUUUUUUUUAUAUUUUUAUUCAUUCAUAAUUUAUUUUUAAUGUUUAUUGAAGUAAAAAAGCCUAUUUAUGCUAUGUAUAAAGAAUGUUUUUUUAUGUAAUUUAUUUUUAUGUGUAUUUUAGGUUAUUAGAUUUAUUUUUUAU